rnacentral:rRNA from 1 species
AACGAACGCUGGCGGCGUGCCUAACACAUGCAAGUCGUGCGAGAAAGUUCCUUCGGGAGCGAGUAAAGCGGCGCACGGGUGAGUAACACGUAGGUAACCUGCCCCCCCAGUCUGGAACAACUAGAGGAAACUCUAGCUAAUGCCGGAUGAGACCACGAUCCCUUCGGGGGUUGCGGCCAAAGAUGGCCUCUACUUGUAAGCUAUCGCUGAGGGAUGGGCCUGCGGGCCAUUAGCUUGUUGGUGAGGUAACGGCUCACCAAGGCUGUGAUGGCUAGCUGGUCUGAGAGGAUGACCAGCCACACUGGGACUGAGACACGGCCCAGACUCCUACGGAAGGCAGCAGUGGGGAAUAUUGCGCAAUGGGCGAAAGCCUGACGCAGCGACGCCGCGUGGGUGAUGAAGGCCU